rnacentral:tRNA from 1 species
AGCGGGAUAGGGUAGAUUAACUCUUCGAAAAGAAGAGAAAGCCCACCCAGGAGAUCCCGCAGGGCUCAUAACCCUGAGAUCGGUUGUUCAAAUCAACCUCCCGCUACCA